CUUUCGGAGCUGUGCGGCAUUCUGAGCAGGAAUGGCAGUGUGGACCUCUGUGAUGGGACAUCUUGUGGGAUCUCACAGCCAGUUCUGUGGCAAAGGAGGAUGAAGGCUUACGAGGACUCGUCAGGAAGCUGGAUAACAGAGCGAGCGCAAUGUGCUAGAAUAGAAGACCAGAAAAUGAAAUGGUGGAGUUUGAGGCUGGAUAGACAGUUUGAAAGAUUGGUCAUUCUGAAUUUCCGGUCCUUCAUUCUGAAUUUCAAAGGCUCCUGUGACAAGUGGACAUGCAGUGACUGCACCUUUGUUUCUGAGGUGCCUGGAUGGAGGCUCAAAUAGAAGAUGGUGUCAGAUAUAUUGUGUUAAAAUUUUACCAUUAAAGUGUAUUAUAACAUGAA
rnacentral:lncRNA from 1 species